rnacentral:sRNA from 1 species
CUUGGUCAUUUAGAGGAAGUAAAAGUCGUAACAAGGUUUCCGUAGGUGAACCUGCGGAAGGAUCAUUCACAAACGAGUGUUUUAUGGCACUCUUUAAAAAUCCAUAUCCACCUUGUGUGCAAUGUUUGUUGGGAAAGUCUUUUCUUUCCCUUCAUAAAUAUCAACCUAUAUCUUUAACAACAUUCGUCUGAUAACAUAUUAUGAAUAUACUUAAUUCAAAAUAUAACUUUCAACAACGGAUCUCUUGGCUCUCGCAUCGAUGAAGAACGCAGCGAAAUGCGAUACGUAAUGUGAAUUGCAGAAUUCAGUGAAUCAUCGAAUCUUUGAACGCAUAUUGCGCUCUUUGGUAUUCCGAAGAGCAUGCUUGUUUGAGUAUCAGUAAACACCUCAACCUCUCUUUUUUGAUAAAAAAAAGGGAGGGUGGACUUGAGCUAUCCCAACGACCUUCACCGGUAGGCGGGCGGCUUGAAAUGCAGGUGCAGCUGGACUUUUAUCUGAGCUAAAAGCAUAUCUAUUUAGUCCUCGUCAGACAGGAUUAUUACUUUUGCUGCAGCUAACAUAAAGGAUAAUUGUCCUCUUUGCUGACUGGUGCAGGAUUUUACGACACUUUAUGUGUUGUUCAACUCGAUCUCAAAUCAAGUAAGACUACCCGCUGAACUUAAGCAUAUCAAUAAGCGGAGGAAAAGAAACUAACAAGGAUUCCCCUAGUAACGGCGAGUGAAGCGGGAUGAGCUCAAAUUUGAAAUCUGGCUGGUUUACUAGUCCGAGUUGUAAUUUAAAGAAGCGUUUUCGGUGGCAGCCUGGGUAUAAAUCCUUUGGAAUAGGGUAUCAUAGAGGGUGAGAAUCCCGUCUUUGACCUAGUGCAUGCUACUAUGUGAUACGUUUUCAAAGAGUCGAGUUGUUUGGGAAU